AUUGAACGCUGGCGGCAUGCCUUACACAUGCAAGUCGAACGGUAACAGGUCUUCGGAUGCUGACGAGUGGCGAACGGGUGAGUAAUACAUCGGAACGUGCCUAGUAGUGGGGGAUAACUACUCGAAAGCGUGGCUAAUACCGCAUGAGAUCUACGGAUGAAAGCAGGGGAUCGCAAGACCUCGUGCUACUAGAGCGGCCGAUGGCAGAUUAGGUAGUUGGUGGGAUAAAAGCUUACCAAGCCGACGAUCUGUAGCUGGUCUGAGAGGACGAUCAGCCACACUGGGAAUGAGAAACGGCCCAGACUCCUACGGGAGGCAGCAGUGGGGAAUUUUGGACAAUGGGCGCAAGCCUGAUCCAGCAAUGCCGCGUGCAGGAUGAAGGCCUUCGGGUUGUAAACUGCUUUUGUACGGAACGAAAAGCCCCGGGUUAAUACCCUGGGGUCAUGACGGUACCGUAAGAAUAAGCACCGGCUAACUACGUGCCAGCCGCCGCGGUAA
rnacentral:rRNA from 1 species